GAUGAACGCUAGCGGCAGGCUUAAUACAUGCAAGUCGUGGGGCAGCGCAGUGUAGCAAUACAUGGGCGGCGACCGGCAAACGGGUGCGGAACACGUACGCAACCUUCCUUUAAGUGGGGAUAGCCCAGGGAAACUUGGAUUAAUACCCCGUAAUAUUACGGAGUGGCAUCACUUUUUAAUAUAGCAGCAAUGCGCUUGAAGAUGGGCGUGCGCCUGAUUAGGUAGUUGGCGGGGUAACGCCCACCAAGCCUUCGAUCAGUAACUGGUGUGAGAGCACGACCAGUCACACGGGCACUGAGACACGGGCCCGAUCCUACGGGUGGCUG
rnacentral:rRNA from 1 species